AGCUCAAGUAGCGUAUAUUAAAGUUGUUGCAGUUAAAAAGCUCGUAGUCGCAUUUCUGGCGAGAGGAUCCGGUCCGACCUUUUGGUGGGUUCUUGGGUCUCUUUCGCCAUCCUUGAGUGGUCCGUUCUGGCAUUAGGUUGUCGGAGCGUCAGCCGCUCAUCGUUUACUGUGAGAAAAUUAGAGUGUUCAAAGCAGGCUUAUGCCGUUGAAUAUAUUAGCAUGGAAUAAUAAGAUAGGACCUCGGUACUAUUUUGUUGGUUUGCGCACCAAGGUAAUGAUGAACAGGGACAGUUGGGGGUAUUUGUAUUUCGUUGUCAGAGGUGAAAUUCUUAGAUUUACGAAAGACAAACUACUGCGAAAGCAUUUACCAAGGAUGUUUUCA
rnacentral:rRNA from 1 species